rnacentral:rRNA from 3 species
AGACCCGAAACCCGGUGAUCUAGCCAUGGGCAGGUUGAAGGUUGGGUAACACUAACUGGAGGACCGAACCGACUAAUGUUGAAAAAUUAGCGGAUGACCUGUGGCUGGGGGUGAAAGGCCAAUCAAACCGGGAGAUAGCUGGUUCUCCCCGAAAGCUAUUUAGGUAGCGCCUCGUGAAUUCAUCUCCGGGGGUAGAGCACUGUUUCGGCUAGGGGGCCAUCCCGGCUUACCAACCCGAUGCAAACUGCGAAUACCGGAGAAUGUUAUCACGGGAGACACACGGCGGGUGCUAACGUCCGUCGUGAAGAGGGAAACAACCCAGACCGCCAGCUAAGGUCCCAAAGUCAUGGUUAAGUGGGAAACGAUGUGGGAAGGCCCAGACAGCCAGGAUGUUGGCUUAGAAGCAGCCAUCAUUUAAAGAAAGCGUAAUAGCUCACUGGUCGAGUCGGCCUGCGCGGAAGAUGUAACGGGGCUAAACCAUGCACCGAAGCUGCGGCAGCGACGCUGAUGCGUUGUUGGGUAGGGGAGCGUUCUGUAAGCCUGUGAAGGUGGCCUGUGAGGGUUGCUGGAGGUAUCAGAAGUGCGAAUGCUGACAUAAGUAACGAUAAAGCGGGUGAAAAGCCCGCUCGCCGGAAGACCAAGGGUUCCUGUCCAACGUUAAUCGGGGCAGGGUGAGUCGACCCCUAAGGCGAGGCCGAAAGGCGUAGUCGAUGGGAAACGGGUUAAUAUUCCCGUACUUGGUGUUACUGCGAAGGGGGGACGGAGAAGGCUAUGUUGGCCGGGCGACGGUUGUCCCGGUUUAAGCGUGUAGGUGUGUGUUCCAGGUAAAUCCGGUUCACUUUAACACUGAGGCGUGAUGACGAGGCACUACGGUGCUGAAGCAACAAAUGCCCUGCUUCCAGGAAAAGCCUCUAAGCAUCAGGUAACAUCAAAUCGUACCCCAAACCGACACAGGUGGUCAGGUAGAGAAUACCAAGGCGCUUGAGAGAACUCGGGUGAAGGAACUAGGCAAAAUGGUGCCGUAACUUCGGGAGAAGGCACGCUGACAU